CAGAAGAUAGUUUAUUAAAAUUUUAAUUUUGGAGAUUAAAGAUAAGAAUUAUUUUCUUUCUUCUGA
rnacentral:tRNA from 1 species